AACGUAGGGGGCGAGCGUUGCCCGGAUUCACUGGGCGUAAAGCGCGUGUAGGCGGUUCGUUAAGUCGGAUGUGAAAUCCCACGGCUCAACUGUGGAAUUGCAUCCGAUACUGGCGAACUUGAGGACGGUAGAGGUCGGUGGAAUUCCCGGUGUACCGGUGAAAUGGGCAGAUAUCGGGAGGAACACCUGUGGCGAAGGCGGCCACCUGGUUGGAUACUGACGCUGAGACGCGAAAGCGUGGGGAGCAAACAGG
rnacentral:rRNA from 1 species